rnacentral:rRNA from 1 species
CUCCUAGUAAGUGCUAGGUAGUCUCUGCCCUGUGAGUUAAUUAAACGGCCGCAGUAUUUUGACUGUGCAAAGGUAGCAUAAUCACUUGUCUCCUAAUUAGAGACUGGAAUGAAAGAGGUAACGAAAUAAAAGCUUUUGAAUUUAUGUAUUAAUUUGACAUAAGGGUCAAAAGGCCCUUUCAUAUCAAAGGGACGAUAAGACCCUAUAAAACUUUAUUUUUUAAAACUCCUUAAAAGAAGGUGGGGAAUAAAAAAAUUAAACUGGGGCGGUUAUUAUAAAAACUAUUUAAAAUAAAAUAUAAAAAAUAAAAUUUUAGAGCUAUUUUUUUAAAUUUGAAUAAGUUACUUUAGGGAUAACAGCAUAAUCCCCCCGGAGAGUACAAAUCGACGGGGGAGCUUAUGACCUCGAUGUUGAAUUGGAAUUACUUUUAUGGGCAGUUUUAUAAAUAGUUAGUCUGUUCGACUGUU